rnacentral:rRNA from 1 species
CGCUUAGUGCUUUUAUAUUAAGUAAAUUCUGCUCAGUGAAAUUUUUAAACAGCAGCGGUAUUUUGACCGUUCAAAGGUAGCAUAAUAAGUCUAGUAAUUGUAGACCUGUCAAUGGACCCAUGGGUUUAUUUUUAUGAAGAUUUAAUUGAAAAGAAAUUGAAAAAUAAGUAAAAAUUCUUUAUUUUUAUUUAAAAGACGAUAAGACCCUAGAACUUUUUAAUAAAAUUUAGGUGGGGAAUCUUAAAGGUUUUAAAAACAAACCAAUAUAAAAGUACUCUAGGGAUAACAGCUUUAUUUUAAAGAUUCUUUAAAGUUUGAGACCUCGAUGUUGAAUUAAGAAUAUUUAUCUUUCAGAAGAAGAUUAAUCUAGGUCUGUUCGACCUUAACCUCUU